rnacentral:rRNA from 1 species
UACGGAGGGUGCAAGCGUUAAUCGGAAUUACUGGGCGUAAAGCGCACGCAGGUGGCUGAGUCAGUCGAUUGUGAAAGCCCUGGGCUUAACCUGGGAAUUGCAGUCGAUACUACUCGGCUUGAGUAUGGGAGAGGGCAGUGGAAUUCUCGGUGUAGCGGUGAAAUGCGUAGAUAUCAGGAGGAACACCGAUUGCGAAGGCAGCUCGCUGGAACGUUACUGACGCUGAGACGCGAAAGCGUGGGGAGCAAACAGG